UACAGAGGGGGCAAGCGUUAUUCGGAAUUAUUGGGCGUAAAGGGCGCGUAGGCGGCUUGGCAAGUCAAAGGUGAAAUCCCUCGGCUCAACUGAGGAACUGCCUUUGAAACUGCCUGGCUUGAGUCCGGGAGGGGGUAGCGGAAUUCCCAGUGUAGCGGUGAAAUGCGUAGAUAUUGGGAGGAACACCGGUGGCGAAGGCGGGUCUCUGGGCCGAUACUGACGCUGAGGAGCGAAAGCGUGGGGAGCGAACAGG
rnacentral:rRNA from 1 species